rnacentral:rRNA from 1 species
AUGAUAACCAAUAUAUUCUGGGCAGAUGCAAGAUCAAUAUUAGAUUAUCACUACUUUGGUGACGUGGUAUGCUUUGACACAACCUUUAAGACAAAUAGUUAUGGCAGACCAUUUGCCCCUUUUGUUGGUGUCAACCAUCAUAAACAAACAGUGGUUUUUGGAGCUGCAUUAUUGUAUGAUGAAACAUCUGAGACGUUUGAAUGGUUGUUUGAAACAUUCAAAAGGGCCAUGUCAGGAAAAGAACCAAAGACAAUAUUGACCGAUCAGUGUGCUGCCAUUAUUAGUGCCAUUGGCAAGGUUUUUACUAACUCAACACAUCGUCUAUGUGUGUGGCACAUGUAUCAGAACGCUGCAAAACAUUUGAGUCAUGUUUUCCAAGGUUCCAAGACAUUUAAGAAAGAUUUUGGCAAGUGUGUUUAUGGUUUUGAAGAAGUUGAUGAAUUCCUAACAGGUUGGAAUGAUAUGCUAGUGAAAUAUAAUUUGGAAGAUAAUGACUGGCUACAUAGAUUAUUCCAGAACAAAGAGAAGUGGGCUUUGGUUUAUGGUCGACAAACCUUUUGUGCAGAUAUGAUAUCCACACAAAGAAGCGAGAGUAUCAAUGCACUAUUGAAACGAUACCUGCAUGUUCGCCUUGAUUUAUUAGAUUUCUUCAAGCACUAUGAGAGGGCUGUGGAUGAUAGAAGGUAUGCUGAAGUGGAAAGUGAUUUCUAUGCGAGUCAAACAUCACCAAAGGUGCCUUAUGUGCCGAUGCUUACACAAACAUCGAAAGUAUAUACACCUGCUAUGUUUGAGACAUUUAAAGGAGAAUUUGACAUGGUAAUGGGAUAUUGUGUGUACGAGAGUGGUCGUACUAGCUCUAUUUCUGAAUUCAAGGUUACCCAUUCAGCUAGCCAAAAUAGUCAUACUGUGAAAUUUGAUCCCAAUGGAUCAAAAGUUUCAUGCUCAUGCAAAAAGUUUGAAUUUGUUGGAGUAUUGUGUCGUCAUGCAUUAAAGGUGUUGGACCACAACAAUAUAAAGGAGUUGGCACCAGAAUAUAUCUUGAAAAGAUGGACAAGGCGAGCAAAAUCAGGGCCCUCACAGGCAAUUCAAAAGUAUAGUGAUGAUGAAGAUAUAAGAGUUAUGCUAGCUAGGCAGUAUGGAUCAUUAUGUCGCACUUACAAUAACAUUUUGAGCAAAGCAGCAGCAAACAAAGAAGCAUAUGCACUACUGCAGACUAUGUCAAUUGAACUAAUGGAAAAGGUGGACCAAAUUUUACAUGGAAAUCAAUCAAAAGAUAUAUCACCGAAUCAUGAACAAGCAGAGAAGCAACCAGUUGAAUGCAACAUCGAGAAUGUAGUCACAGAGAAGCAACCAGUUGAAUGCAACCUUGAGAAUGUAGUCACAGUACAGGGAAUAAAGAGAAAAGAACAAGGAAAUAGCAACAAGAGGAUUAAAUCUGGACUGGAGCUGAAUAAUAAGAAUAAACGUAAUAAGAAAGGUCAAGGAACAACAUGCAAGAAUAAGAGUGGUGAUUGUGCUUCUGCAUCAUCUAGACCAAAUCCUAGCUUCAACAUAUCAAACGAGAACUAUAAUUUGCAAGUAGUACAGCAUGCUAUGCCUCCACUACCGAAUGCUGCCAAUUACAAUUUGCAAGUAUUGCAGCAUGCUAUGCCUCCACUACCAAAUGUUGCGAACUAUAAUCCGCAAGUAUUUCCGCCCGCUAUGCCUUCGGUACCACAAGUUGUUUUCCCAUUACCACAUGCACAUAAUUAUAAUUUGCAUGUACUGCCGGGUACUAUGACAUCAGUACCAGGACCUGAGAACUAUAAUUUGCAAGUAUUACAUCAUGGCUUGCCUGCUCCGCUAUCGCAGACAGACACUACUAGUUUUCAACAGUUACUUGGCUUGCGACCACAACCACCAUAUUUCUAUCAUAGCAUUCAACCGAGUCAGCCGCCAACUAGCACUCAACCAAGUCAGAGUUCCCAAAUGUUAUCAGACUCAGGAUGGCCAACAUCUCAAAAAUGA